CCUACGGGUGGCCGCAGUGGGGAAUUUUGCACAAUGGGGGAAACCCUGAUGCAGCGACGCCGCGUGAGUGAAGAAGUAUUUCGGUAUGUAAAGCUCUAUCAGCAGGGACGAAAAUGACGGUACCUGACUAAGAAGCCCCGGCUAACUACGUGCCAGCAGCCGCGGUAAUACGUAGGGGGCAAGCGUUAUCCGGAUUUACUGGGUGUAAAGGGAGCGUAGACGGUAGCACAAGUCUGAAGUGAAAUGCCGGGGCUGAACCAUGGGACUGCUUUGGAAACUGUGAAACUAGAGUGCAGGAGAGGUAAGCGGAAUUCGUGGUGUAGCGGUGAAAUGCUUAGAUAUCAGGAAGAACACCAGUUGCGAAGGCGGCCUACUGAACUGUAACUGACGUUGAUGCUCGAAAGCGUGGGUAGCAAACAGGAUUAGAUACCCUAGUAGUC
rnacentral:rRNA from 1 species